rnacentral:lncRNA from 1 species
CCUCCAUGGGAACAGGGACAGGUGGGGACAACGAUGGGACCCCCUGUGGGGAGGGGGACACAAAUGGGGACAGUGACCCCCAUUUGCCCCUGUGCUGUCCCCCCCCCCUUCCUGUCCCUUUAGAAUAGUGACAGUCACACCCCUGUCCCCCCCCAAUCUCCCCUAUGUCCCCAUCAGGAUGGGGGUCCCCAAUGUCCCUAUUAGGGUGGGGGGUCCCCAUUGAAACGGGGGGGGGGGGGUCCCAGUGUCCCCAUCCUUGGCAGGGUCCCAAUAUCCCCCUGGGGGUCCCCAUGUCCCUAUUAGGGUGGGGGUCCCCAUUAGAAUGGGGGUCCUCAUUGAAACAGGGGUCCCCAAUGUCCCCCUGGGGGUCCCCACUAAAAUGGGGGUCCCAGUGCCCCCAUGUCCCCACUGAAAUGGGGGUCCCAGAGUUGCCAUGUCCCCCUGGGGGGUCCCCAUAUUCUCAUUAGGAUGGGGGUCCCCAAUGUCCUCAUGUUGCCCUUGGGGGUCCCCACUGAAAGGGGGAGGGGGGUCCCGGUGUCCCCAUGGGGGUCCCCAUCAGGGUGGGGGUCCCCAAUGUCCCCAUUCGAGGGAGGGUCCUAAUAUCUGCCUGGGGUCCCCAUCAGGGUGGGGGUCACCAUUAAAACAGGGGUCCCAGUGACCCCAAGCCCCCCCAGAGAUCCCCAUCCUCAUUAGGGUGGGGGUCCCCAAUGUCCUCACGUCCCCCUGGAGGUCCCCAGAGAAAUGGGGGGGGGGUCCCGGUGUCCCCAUGUCCCCCUGGGGGUCCCCAUCAGGGUGGGGGUCCCCACGCCCCCAUCACAGUGGGGGUCCCGGUUAAAAUAGGGGCCCCAACGUCCCCAUCAAUCGCAGCGAGGAUCCCGUUACCCCUCUGGGGGGGGUGGGGGGGGUCC